CCUACGGGAGGCUGCAGUCGAGAAUCAUUCACAAUGGGCGAAACCCUGAUGCUGCGACGCCGCGUGGGGGAAUGCAGGCCUUCGGGUUGUAAACCCCUGUCAUGUGGGAGCAAAUUGAAAAGCUAGUACCACAAGAGAAAGAGACGGCUAACUCCGUGCCAGUAGCCGCGGUACUACAGAGGGCUCAGGCUUUGUUCGGCAUGACUGGGCGUAAAGGGUGCGUUGGCUGUUUCGUAAGUCUAGUGUGAAAGUGUCGGGCUCAACCCUCGGACUGCACAUGAUACUGGGCGACUAGAGUAAUGGAGGGGGAGGCGGAAUUCGUGGUGUAGCAGUGAAAUGCGUAGAUAUCGCGAAGAACACCGGUGGCGAAGGCAGGUUCCUGGACAUCAACUGACGCUGAGGCACGAAGGCGAGGGGAGCGAAAGGGAUUAGAUACCCCAGUAGUC
rnacentral:rRNA from 1 species